UACGAAGGGGGCUAGCGUUGUUCGGAAUCACUGGGCGUAAAGCGCACGUAGGCGGGCGUGUCAGUCAGGGGUGAAAUCCCGGAGCUCAACUCCGGAACUGCCUCUGAUACAGCACGUCUUGAGUUCGAGAGAGGUGGGUGGAAUUCCUAGUGUAGAGGUGAAAUUCGUAGAUAUUAGGAAGAACACCGGUGGCGAAGGCGGGCCCAACUGG
rnacentral:rRNA from 1 species